UACGGAGGGGGCUAGCGUUGUUCGGAAUUACUGGGCGUAAAGCGCACGUAGGCGGCUUUGUAAGUUAGAGGUGAAAGCCCAGGGCUUAACCCUGGAAUUGCCUUUAAGACUGCAUCGCUCGAAUUGUGGAGAGGUGAGUGGAAUUCCGAGUGUAGAGGUGAAAUUCGUAGAUAUUCGGAAGAACACCAGUGGCGAAGGCGACUCACUGGACACAUAUUGACGCUGAGGUGCGAAAGCGUGGGAGCAAACAGG
rnacentral:rRNA from 1 species